AGUUUCAGUUGCUAGCUUUGAACUUUCAUCAGGACACAAAAGCUUUUGUGUCCUGAUGAAAGUUCCAAGCUAGGAACUGAAACU